GUUGAACGCUGGCGGCAUGCCUUACACAUGCAAGUCGAACGAUCACGGGCCUUCGUUUGCCGUCGAGUGGCGACCGCGUGAGUAUUACAUCCGCACGUGUCCCCUCGUUGGGGAUAACGGAUCAAUUCCUUUACUCGUACCUCAUACCAUCUACUAUUUUAAGCAGCGUGCUUCAAUACCUUGCGCCGGUUUUGCUGUCGAUGGUGGAUUAGUUAGUUGGUGGGAUAAAAGCUUACCAAGGCGACGAUCUGUAGCUGAUCUGAGAGGAUGAUCAGCCACACUGGAACUGAGACACGGCCCAGACUCCUACGGGAGGCAGCAGUAGGGAAUUUUCGGCAAUGGGCGAAAGCCUGAUCCAGCAAUGCCGCGUGAAGGAUGAAGGCCUUCGGGUCGUAAAAUGCUGUUGUAAGGAAAGAAAAGACGUCUUAGAAUACAGGAGGGUCAUGACGGUACCGUAAGAAUAAGCACCGGCUAACUACGUG
rnacentral:rRNA from 1 species